rnacentral:rRNA from 1 species
UACGGGGGGGGCAAGCGUUGUUCGGAAUUACUGGGCGUAAAGCGCAUGUAGGCGGCGAUUCAAGUCGGGGGUGAAAUCCUGAGGCUCAACCUCAGAACUGCCUUCGAUACUGCAUUGCUAGAGUAUGGAAGAGGUAGGUGGAACUGCAAGUGUAGAGGUGAAAUUCGUAGAUAUUUGCAAGAACACCAGUGGCGAAGGCGGCCUACUGGUCCAUCACUGACGCUGAGAUGCGAAAGCGUGGGGAGCAAACAGG